UACGUAGGGUGCAAGCGUUGUCCGGAAUCAUUGGGCGUAAAGAGCGUGUAGGCGGCCCGGUAAGUCCGCUGUGAAAGUCGGGGGGCUCAACCCUCGAAUGCCGGUGGAUACUGUCGGGCUAGAGUGCGGAAGAGGCGAGUGGAAUUCCUGGUGUAGCGGUGAAAUGCGCAGAUAUCAGGAGGAACACCGAUUGCGAAGGCAGCUCGCUGGGACGUAACUGACGCUGAGACGCGAAAGCGUGGGGAGCAAACAGG
rnacentral:rRNA from 1 species